rnacentral:lncRNA from 1 species
UGGAGGCCAACCUCUCCAGAAAGCUAGGAUACCGAUGGAAGAGCCAGAGCCUCCCAACAAGGUGGGAGGUCAGGCCAGUGGCUCCUCCGUGGCAUCAGUGGCUGGUGUCCCUGUGGACUCUGCAGAUGUGGCUACAGGCUGCUUAGCAUUAGGGUGCGGCGUGGGUGAUCUGAGGUGCAGGCUGGUCCCUUGGCCCGGUACUCACCCUGGCGGCCUCCUCUCUGCAGGGAGACAGGCCCUCAGGCACUGCCUCGGUCCUGGACUGGUGGCGACAACGGUGACACACGUGGCUCUCUUUCUCACCUAGAUUGGUAUUACCACCUCCCGGCCAAGCGCUCCGAGAAGGCGGUGGGCGCCCCACCGGCAUCGCAGAUCCCAGGGCUGAGCGACGUGGGGGCCUUGCAGGACCACAGCACGUUGGCGGCUAGGAGGUACUGGAUCAAGGACACGGACUCUGCGUACGUGAAGCUCGCCAAGCAGGGCGGCAGGCCUGACUUGCUGAAGCACUCCGCAGCACCCGGGACCAGAAAGGGCUCUCCGGUGGCCUACACCCUGCCCGACUGGUACAUCCAUCACAGCAAGCCGCCCACCGCCAGCCGGCGUCCGGUGCCCGUGGUCACCAUGCCAGAUUACAUGGUAUACGAAGAGUUCCACCCCAGCCAAGCCAACGGUGGCUACGAGUCUAGAAGAGGACCCUUCAACUUCGACAUGAAAACAGUGUGGCAGAGAGAGGCCGAAGAGCUUGAGGAGAAAAAGAAGGUGAGGCUGCCGGCCAUUAACUCAAAGCACCCCAACAAAGUGGGGACGCCGGUGGGUGCCAGAGACUCUGAGGGAAGCAGGCUGUCUUUCCCCCCCAUGUAAGUGUCCAGGCAUCUUUCCCUUUCUUUCUUUCUUUCUUUCUUUCUUUCUUUCUUUCUUUCUUUCUUUCUUUCUUUCUUUCUUUCUUUCUUUCUUUCUUUCUUUCUUUCUUUCUUUCUU